GACAGAGGGUGCAAACGUUGCUCGGAAUUACUGGGCGUAAAGGGCGUGUAGGCGGGAAGGCAAGUCGGGCGUGAAAGCCCCAGGCUCAACCUGGGAACUGCACUCGAAACUGCCUUUCUUGAGUGCCGGAGAGGAAAGCGGAAUUCCUGGUGUAGAGGUGAAAUUCGGUAGAUAAUCAGGAGGAACACCAGUGGCGAAGGCGGCUUUCUGGACGGU
rnacentral:rRNA from 1 species